GCCCGGCUAGCGCAAUGGUAGCGCGUAAGACUUCUACUUUCGAGGACCUCUUCCAGGAGAUCAAAAGAAGCGCAUGCAAUCUUAAGGUUGCGGGUUCGAGUCCCGCGUCGGGUU